UAGAAAGUUACUAAAGCGCAUAUAACGAAUGCCUUGACACAAAUUACCGAUAAAGGACGUAGAAGGCUGCGAUAAGCUUCGGGGAGUUGCCUCACAAACUUUGAACCGAAGAUUUCCGAAUGGGGAAACCCAGCUAGAGUCAUGUCUAGUUACUUUUCAGCUGAAUUCAUAGGCUGAUAAGAGGUAACCGCCUGAACUGAAACAUCUAAGUAGGGCGAGGAAUAGAAAGUAAACAACGAUUCUCCUAGUAGUGGCGAGCGAACGGGGAUCAGCCCAAACCUUUCAAGUUUCCGUCUGUUAAUUCAGACGGAUAAGUUGACAGACGAAGAUUUGAAAUGGGGUUGUGACACAUAAAUUAACCAAGUUUAGGCUCCGUCUUUGACGGGACUUAGGCUUGGUCCAGCUAACGCUGUCACGAGUUAGCGUAAGGUUACAAAGUGCGGACCGAGUAGAAACAGCUGGAAAGCUGUACCAAAGACGGUGAUAGUCCGGUAUACCAAGGGUCGCACCCUUAUCAUUUAUGUUGUCGAGUAGGCCGAGACACGGGAAACCUUGGUUGAAUCUGGGACGUCCACGUCCCAAGGCUAAAUAUAAUUUGUGAUCGAUAGAGAACUAGUACCGCGAGGGAAAGGCGAAAAGAACCCCGGAAGGGGAGUGAAAUAGAACCUGAAAUUAUAUGCGUACAAGGAGUAGGAGCCCCGUACUGAGCUUUUGAUACGUCUGCUUUUGGUAGACGAUAGGCUUUGCCUGACAAAGCAAUCAAAAGUCUAGUACGGGGUGACUGCGUGCUUUUUGUAGAACGAUCCAGCGAGUUAAUCGUUGCAGUGAGCCUAAGUCAUUUGACGGAGGCGCAGUGAAAGCGAGCCUGAAUAGGGCGACAUUAAUUGUAACGAUUAGACCCGAAACCGGGUGACCUAACCAUGAGCAGGCUGAAGCGUCGGUAAAACGACGUGGAGGGCCGAACCGUAGCGAGUUGCAACACGCCCGGAUGACUUGUGGUUAGAGGUGAAAUGCCAAUCGAACUCGGAGAUAGCUGGUUCUCCUCGAAAUAGCUUUAGGGCUAGCGUCGUACGGUAGCACUUAGGGGUAGAGCUCUGUUUCGGACUGGGGGUCGCAAGACUACCCACCCUUGACAAACUACGAAUACUAAGUGUGGAACUACGGCAGUCAGAACGGCGGGGCUAAGCUCGUCGCUCAAAAGGGAAACAGCCCAGACCAUCAUCUAAGGUCCCUAACUAUAUGCUCAGUGGGAAACGAGGUGAGAUUUCUUAAACAAUGAGGAUGUUGGCUUAGAAGCAGCCAUUCAUUUAAAGAGUGCGUAACAGCUCACUCAUCAAGAGAUCUUGCGCGGAAAAUGUAACGGGGCUUAAGCAUAUGACCGACGAUAUGGGCUUGCGUAUUUAUACGUGAGCGGUAGAGGAGCGUUCCUAUCUUGCUGUGAAGUCGAACCGCGAGGUUCGGUGGAGCGUUAGGAAGUGAGAAUGCUGGAAUUAGUAACCAUAAGGCAGGUGAGAAUCCUGCCCACCGAAAGAGCAAGGUUUCCUGGGCCACGGUAAUCGUCCCAGGGUUAGUCGGUCCUAAGCCGAGGCGCGUAGCGUAGGCGAUGGACAACAGGUUAAUAUUCCUGUACCGGUGUUACUUUGUUUAUAGAGCGCGGCAUAUUAGCAAGAGCGGACUAUUGAUAUAUCCGUCUAAGUACGAGCAAUGCGUACGAAUGAAACGUUUGUAUAAAACGAAUUCUUGUAAAGGUGCUGACCAGAAAAGUCUAUAAACGCGUGGGUAACGCCGUCCGUACCGCAAACCGACACAGGUGCUCAGGUCGAGAAGACCAAGGUGUACGAGUGAUUCUUCGUUAAGGAACUCGGCAAUACAGCGACCGUAACUUCGGGAUAAGGUCUGCCCCAUCACAAUGUUUGUAAACGUUGUGACUUGCCUUUAUGAGUUUUCUUUUAACAAAAACUUGCAACGAAGCUUUUAGUAACGGCUUCUAUGCAAGGAGCGAGCUCCGCCUUCGCCAGCCGGCGAAUAGCGGAAAUGAGAAAGAAAGCUUUAGAGCGCCUUUCACAUGCUUUUAUGAGUAUUGUGAUGGGGCCGCAGCUAAAGAACCCAUGCAACUGUUUACCAAAAACACAGGUCUCUGCUAACACGAAAGUGGAUGUAUAGGGGCUGACUCCUGCCCGGUGCUGGAAGGUUAAGGGGAUGACUUCACGGUCUGAACUGAAGCCCCAGUGAACGGCGGCGGUAACUAUAACCGUCCUAAGGUAGCGAAAUUCCUUGUCAGGUAAGUUCUGACCCGCACGAAUGGAGUAAUGAUAUGGGUACUGUCUCAACGAAGAGCUCGGUGAACGUGCAUUGACGGUAAAGAUGCCGUCUGUCCGCAGCAGGACGAGAAGACCCUAUGGAGCUUUACUACAGCUUGACAUUGAAUCGAGCUGCAAUAUGUGUAGCAUAGCUGGGAGACUUUGAAGCUUAGACGCUAGUCUAGGUGGAGUCGCAAUGUGAAAUACCAGCCUUAUUGUAGUUUUAUUCUUACGUGUCCCUUCAUUUUUGGCUAACGCCUUAUGAGACAAACCUUGCGGUUUUUCUCAUCGCGCCGGAAAACGGAGUAAAUCCGUUUUGUGGGCUGCUCUUUUCCCUUCGCGGGAAAGAGAGUAAGGAUUUCGUUGGACAAAGGUGCAGGGAUGCAGACAGUGUCUGGUGGGUAGUUUAACUGGGGCGGUUGCCUCCUAAAGAGUACCGGAGGCGUUCAAAGGUUAGCUAAGUACGGAUGGAAAUCGUACUGAUAGUGCAUACGCAGAAGCUAGCUUGACUGUGAGGCCAACAAGCCGAUCAGACACGAAAGUGGGAGUAAGUGACCCGCUGUAUUAACCAUUCAUGGUUUAUGAUUGUGGUAUCGACAGCGCAAACGGAUAAAAGUUACCCUAGGGAUAACAGGCUUAUCGCAUCCAAUAGUUCACAUAGACGAUGCGGUUUGGCACCUCGAUGUCGGCUCAUCACAUCCUGGAGGGGGAGCACCUUCCAAGGGUCCGGCUGUUCGCCGGUUAAAGUGGUACGUGAGCUGGGUUCAGAACGUAAAUUACAUUGCGUUCUACUACUGUAAAGUAGUAAAGUAUCAGUGUACAUCGCACUAAUGAUACUAAAUCUGACUGAAAUCGGUGAAACCCGAAUCUCAUUCCGAACGAUGAGAAGGGCAAUACCGAGGGAAGAUUAGGAAAAUGUCUGACGAAGUAGCGGCAUAUAUUGCCGGAUUUCUAGAUGGUGACGGCUCGAUCAUGGCCCAACUGGUAGCCCGUAAGGACUAUAGGCUUGGUUAUCAGAUUCGAGUUAGUAUUGUGUUUUAUCAAAAGCACAGCCACCAAGAAAUACUCUUUUGGUUAAAAGAGCAGCUCCAGUUCGGUUACAUUCGCAGCCGUAAUGACGGCAUGGUCGAAUACACCAUCGUGGGCUUGAAUGAAGUAGAAAAAGUAUUAAAGCUACUUUAUCCAAAACUUCGUCUAAAGAAACGUUUAGCUUCAGAAGUCUUGCGACUAAUUAGUCUUCAUCCUAAGAAGAUGACAGCUAAGAAGUUGCUUCGGCUCGCUUCACUGGUUGAUAAAACCGCAGAAUUUAAUUAUUCAAAGAAGCGAACCAAUACGUCUGAAACCCUGAAACGCUACUUGAACGACAAUAGACUUUUCCCCGUAGAGACUUUAGAUGAAUGUUAGACCACUUCAUCUAGGAUGGUUGCUUUAACGAGCGGCCAUAAAACGUCAGCGCCUUAACUAAUACUAAACAGGUUAAGGAUGAAGAUAUAGUCCGUGCCGCCAGUAAUGGCGGAUGAUUUGAAAGGAAUAGAACGCCCUUUUGAUGACACGCGUGAGACAGUUCGGUUUAUAUCCGCUGUGGACGCUAGGAAAAUUGAGAGGAUCUGUCUCUAGUACGAGAGGACCGAGAUGGACGCACCGCUGGUGUACCAAUUGUGAGAUCAACUUGCAUUGUUGGGUAGCUACGUGCGGAGCAGAUAAGCGCUGAAAGCAUAUUAAGCGCGAAACUGACCUCAAGAUUAGUUUUCCCCAUGGAGCCCCCUGAAAGACGAUCAGGUUGAUAGGCGCAAGGUGUAAGAGCAGUAAUGUUUUCAGCCGAAGCGUACUAAUAGGGCCAUUGACUUUCUAAG
rnacentral:rRNA from 1 species